UGGGGAAUCUUGCACAAUGGGGGAAACCCUGAUGCAGCGACGCCGCGUGAACGAUGAAGCCCUUCGGGGUGUAAAGUUCUUUCGACAGGAACGAUAAUGACGGUACCUGGAGAAGAAGCUGCGGCUAACUACGUGCCAGCAGCCGCGGUAAUACGUAGGCAGCGAGCGUUGUUCGGAGUUACUGGGCGUAAAGAGUGCGUAGGCGGCGAGCCAAGUUUGGUGUGAAAUCUCCCGGCUUAACCGGGAGGGUGCGCCGAAAACUGGUUGGCUGGAGUAUGGGAGAGGAUAGCGGAAUUCCUGGUGUAGCGGUGAAAUGCGUAGAUAUCAGGAGGAACACCGGCGGUGUAGACGGCUUGCUAGACCAUAACUGACGCUGAGGCACGAAAGCGUGGGUAGCAAACA
rnacentral:rRNA from 1 species